rnacentral:rRNA from 1 species
GCAGGCGCGAAACCUUUACACUGCACGCAAGUGCGAUAAGGGGACUCCGAGUGCGAGGGCAUAUCGUCCUCGCUUUUCUGUACCGUAGGGUGGUACAGGAACAAGAGCUGGGCAAGACCGGUGCCAGCCGCCGCGGUAAUACCGGCAGCUCAAGUGAUGGCCGAUCUUAUUGGGCCUAAAGCGUCCGUAGCCGGCCUCGCAAGUCCGUCGGGAAAUCCACGCGCCCAACGCGUGGGCGUCCGGCGGAAACUCCGAGGCUUGGGACCGGAAGGCCCGAGGGGUACGUCCGGGGUAGGAGUGAAAUCCCGUAAUCCCGGACGGACCACCGAUGGCGAAAGCACCUCGAGAAGACGGAUCCGACGGUGAGGGACGAAAGCUCGGGUCUCGAACCGGAUUAGAUACCCGGGUAGUCCGAGCCGUAAACGAUGUUCGCUAGGUGUGGCACUGGCUACGAGCCAGUGCUGUGCCGUAGGGAAGCCGAGAAGCGAACCGCCUGGGAAGUACGUCCGCAAGGAUGAAACUUAAAGGAAUUGGCGGGGGAGCACUACAACCGGAGGAGCCUGCGGUUUAAUUGGAUUCAACGCCGG